rnacentral:tRNA from 1 species
GCUAGCUCAGUCGGUAGAGCAUGAGACUCUUAAUCUCAGGGUUGUGAAUUCAUGCCCCACNUUGGGCA